rnacentral:rRNA from 1 species
CGUCUUGAAACACGGACCAAGGAGUCUAGCAUGUGCGCGAGUCAUCGGGAGCGACGAUAGACCCGAAGGCGCAAUGAAAGUGAACAGCGCCGUCGGCGUGCGCGCCGACGGCCGCAGGGAAGAUGGAGGGCGCGUUCGCGCGCGUCCUCCCGCAUUCCCGAGGCGUUUCGAGAAAUGCCAUCGCCGCGAUUAUCGAGACGCACUGAGAGCGCACACGCUGGGACCCGAAAGAUGGUGAACUAUGCCCGGUCAGGUCGAAGUCAGGGGAAACCCUGAUGGAGGACCGAAGCGAUUCUGACGUGCAAAUCGAUCGUCCGAACUGGGUAUAGGGGCGAAAGACUAAUCGAACKAUCUAAUAACGG